rnacentral:rRNA from 1 species
CCCCUAGAUGUUCUGGGCCGCACGCGCGCUACACUGAACAGUUCAACAAGUCUUAACCUUGGCCGAUAGGUCUGGGUAAUCUUUGAACGCUGUUCGUGAUUGGGAUAGACCUUUGCAAUUAUGGGUCUUCAACGAGGAAUUCCUAGUAAACGCAAGUCAUCAGCUUGCAUUGAUUACGUCCCUGCCCUUUGUACACACCGCCCGUCGCACCUACCGAUUGAGUGAUCCGGUGAAUUAUUCGGACUGUAACGCAUUCAGUUCUGGAUGCAGUUACGGGAAGUUUUGUGAACCUUACCACUUAGAGGAAGGAGAAGUCGUAACA